CUGACCUGCCCAGUGAUGAAUUUAACGGCCGCGGUAUAUUGACCGUGCAAAGGUAGCAUAAUCAUUAGUCUUUUAAUAGAGGGCUGGAAUGAAAGGUUUAACGAAGAAUUGACUGUCUCAUUUUAUUUGUUUUAAAAUUUAAUUUUUUAGUUAAAAAGCUAAAAUUUUAUUGGAAGACGAGAAGACCCUAUAGAUCUUUAUAAAAUUAUAUUUAAUUAUUAUUAUAUAAAUAUAAUUAUUUAUUUUUUUAUUUUGUUGGGGUGACAAAAAUAUAUAAUUAACUUUUUUAUUUACAUAACAUUAAUUUAUGAUUAUAUGAUCCAUUAUUAUUGAUUAUUAGACUAAGUUACCUUAGGGAUAACAGCGUAAUCCUCCUCCAGAGUUCAUAUUUACAGGAUGGGCUUGCGACCUCGAUGUUGGAUUAAGAUGAUAAUUAGGUGUAGCCGCUUAAUUUAUAGGUCUGUUCGACCUUUAA
rnacentral:rRNA from 1 species